GACGAACGCUGGCGGCGUGCUUAACACAUGCAAGUCGUACGGUAAGGCCCUUUCGGGGGUACACGAGUGGCGAACGGGUGAGUAACACGUGCGUAACCUGCCCACAACUUUGGGAUAACGCUAGGAAACUGGUGCUAAUACUGGAUAUGUGCUCCUGCUGCAUGGUGGGGGUUGGAAAGCUCCGGCGGUUGUGGAUGGACUCGCGGCCUAUCAGCUUGUUGGUGGGGUAGUGGCCUACCAAGGCGGCGACGGGUAGCCGGCCUGAGAGGGUGACCGGCCACAUUGGGACUGAGAUACGGCCCAGACUCCUACGGGAGGCAGCAGUGGGGAAUAUUGCACAAUGGGCGCAAGCCUGAUGCAGCAACGCCGCGUGCGGGAGGACGGCCUUCGGGUUGUAAACCGCUUUCAGCAGGGACGAAGCUUUUUGUGACGGUACCUGCAGAAGAAGCACCGGCUAACUACGUG
rnacentral:rRNA from 1 species